CACACUCACGCGUGUGUGUGUGCGCGCGCACUCGCAGAGAGAGAGAGACAGAGAGAGAGAGACAGGGAGAGGGAGAGACAGAGCGAGAACCGCUGCUGUGAUUCUUACCGAAGAGUAAGUCACUUCAAAAGAGCUUGCUGUGCCCCUCUGUAGUCACCCAAAUGGCCGGCAGGAUGUGUUUCUUCCUCGGCAAGCCCCACCUGAGAUGAAAGCGCCUGAUCACUGCCACGCAGAGCAGCCGUUCUUAUCUAGGCCAUCUGGCCAAAUGGAAGCAUCUGUUCCUUCUGCACAUCCUUGCCUCGCUCAUCCCUGGAUACGUCGAGGGAUUUGCUUCUCAGGUUGUACAGGCAGGUGUAUGAAUUUUGCCAUCACUGUGACCGAAUGAAUACCCAACGUAAGUUGCGUAAGGGAGGAAAGGUUUGCCUUGGCUUCUGGUCAGUUCUGUUGUUUCUGGACACGCGGCAAAGCCGGGUGCCACGGAGCAUCAUGGCAGACAGGGAUGAUGGAGCAGGAAGCAGACAGAGACACACUCCACCAAGAAUUUACUUCUUCCAGCUCUGCCCCUUCCCCUAACGUUUUCGCUGCUUCUCAAAAUAGUGCCGCCAGCUGUGGUUCGUGAGCCUGUGGGGAACGCGUCAUAGCUAAGUCCUAACAGACAUGAAGCAUGUUUGUUGUGGAUGAGGAGGUCAGUUGUCAUGGCAGCCAUGCCUUCAGCAUCUCCUGUGACUGACAGCUAGAGGUGGGGUUCUGUAUCUGCGGUUGCCCCCAUCACACUUGCUCAAUCUUUAAUGCCCCAGCUGUAAGGGUUCUUGAUGAAAGCAGGGGACUGGACAUCAACGGGAACGCUUGUGUGGGGCUAAUUAAUUCAUUACACCUGGCUACACAAAGAACUGGUUCGGUAGGUACUCCCAGCUCUGGGCCACAGGUCGCUGACGUGGAGAGGGUGGGAGAACUGGGCCAAGACGUCAAGAAGAGCCCGAAGGGAGGGAAAACAAGCCAUCUAUGUCGGGGAAGCUGGGCACGGAAUGCUCCAAUUAUCUCCCAUUGUGUUUGAGAGAAGAAAAGGAUCCAUCCAUAGCCACCUGGCAGAUGCUUGCUGUCUGUGAUUUAUCCACCUGGACCGAACUCCCUGGCAUCUGCUUCAUCAGGAUGGCGGUUUUAUUCCCAUGUGUGGUGCCUCAGAGCACCCAGUGCAGUGCCCACCGAAGCCUGUGGUUGAUGAGAGAUACAGCCAGGAGACCGAGAUCAAGGCUUACGGAACCAGUUUCACAUGUGGAUGGUUACAGUAUACACAUUCCUUAUCCAAGACAGACAUUGCUAAUCCAUCUGCUAAUCAAUUGUGGCGCUUUCUCCUGCUGAGCCUAGAUACGGCCUUGAAGUUAUCGACAAUGGUUGUGCAUCUGGCAGCCGUGAUCAGUUCAUCACGAGCUGGUUCUCACAAUGAAGUCUCUUUGUCCUUCCUGGUUCUGACUGCUGUUCCUUGGCACCAGGACCACAUGCUUCUACAGUCUGUACCUUUGAAGAGACGUCUCUCCCUGUGCAGCUUCAGGUAGAGGUCCAUUGGUGAGAGGCACUGCCAAGAGGACACUCGGAGGUGGAUGAGGAGACGUGAUAGCCGUGACUAUACCUCAGUGCUUGGGCAGAGCCUGGGCUCUUGGGAAUGCACACUGUGGUGCCUCAGUCUGCGAGGCAGAAGGCUUUGGUAACCCCUGGGAUUGCUGAGUCAUUUGUAAUAUUCACUGAAGGUCCUGUACGGUCUAGAUCCUUCUAGAUCCUUUAGAAGGUGCCGGCUGGAACUCUGGCCCCUCCCCUUCCAUCCACAGCUCUUCCUACCUGGGCACCCAGAACAGCUUUCAUUUUCAAGAUCUCUUCGCUGCUGUUUACCAGUGGAACUUGGAGAGCAGGAGACACCCUCGGCCGCAAGCUGAAAAACAGAGAGGUGACUGAGGCUAGUUUGUGCCGGAGCUGGGUUCAUAAGCCAGGCCUAACGACCUGGACUAGUUCCUUAGAACCCCAGGGUCUCAUGGGGGAGGUCUUUCAACAGUAGGAGAAUACGGAUGCCAUAUCGUCAGUUCUGACCCUGAGCUGGAAACCCUCCACAUCUCCACGUGGAAACACGACAAUUCCGAUGUCAUAUCGUCAGUUCUGACCCUGCGAUGGAAACCCUACCACAUCUCCACGUGGAAACAUGACCCCCGUUCUCAACAUUUGUUUUUAUAUCCAGCCGUUGGGGGGGGGGGGAAACGUUGCAGAAUUAAAGUUACCAGUGUCUGUUUCUUUUUGUAAGUGUCCUCUGGUUUCCACGGUGCUGAGGUGUAUGCUGCAGCCACUCCGAGUCCUGGUGGCAGGCUACUGAUGCAGAGACUCACAGAAAGGAUACAAGGGACAACAGGAUGUGAC